GUUUCUUUAUUUAUGUUAACUAUAUUUACCUGAUGUCUCAUCACGAAAGGAAGUGGGCAAAAUUGUCUGACUCCUUCUGGUCCUUCUCUCACAUGAAAAGAAAAGCAAAACUUCUUGCCACCCUGUAGGCUAGGAGGCAAAUGUGGAUUGUUCUCUAUAGUUGGACCCAUACCCCAGGGUGAGUGAACGCCGUAUUAUCCUGGUAUGGAAUCCAAACCCCAGGCUUUAUCUGGAACUGGACUAACUGGUCUUGAGCAUAGAGAAACAACCUAUUAGUGACUUGUUUUCUCCUAUUAGUCCACUGUGCAGAUACUAUUAGAGAAACGUCAAGGAGAAAUAAAGGACACUUUUUUUUUUUUUUUUUUUUUGGUAAGAUGGAGUCUUGCUCUGUCGCCCAGGCUGGAGUGCAGUGGCGCAAUCUCGGCUCACUGCAAGCUCCGCCUCCUGGGUUCACACCAUUCUCCUGCCUCAGCCUCCCGAGUAUCUGGUACUACAGGUGCCCGCCCCGAGGCCCAGAUAAUUUUUUGGUAUUUUUAGUAGAGACGGGGUUUCUACAUGUUAGCCAGGAUGGUCUCCAUCUCCUGACCUCGUGAUCUGCUUGCCUCGGCCUCCUGAAGUGCUGGGAUUACAGGCGUGAGCCACCGCACCUGGCAUAAAGGACAUUUUUAAACCUGAUGAGAGACCAGAAGCACAGAGAGCUUAUGCAACUUGCCCAAAGUCACAUAGCUAAAUGGUAGAGCUGGGAUUUAGCUCAUACAGACUGAAUCCAGAGAUAGAACUCCACACUAUGCCUCACUAUACUGCUUUGCCUCACCAUUGGUUGAAUGCUUGAAGAAAGAAGAAAUUUGGAAUCUAUGUCAAGAGAAAAUUGAAAAGAGCAAUAUUUACAGAAAGAAAGCCAAGGGCUGGGCACAGUGGCUCACAUCUAUAAUCCCAGCACUUUGUGGGGUCAAGGUGGGAGGAUUGCUUGAGCCCAAGAGGUCAGGGCUCCAGUGAGCCAUGAUGGUGCCGCUGCACUCCAGCCAGGACAACAGAGUAA
rnacentral:lncRNA from 1 species